rnacentral:lncRNA from 1 species
CACUAAUCCUAUUCACGAGGGCUCCACUCUCAUGAUCUAAUUACCUCCCAAAGGGUCACCUGCAAAUACUAUUACCUUGGGGAUUAAGGGCUUCACCAUGAACAUGGGAGGCAUAAACAGUCAAUCCAUAGCAAGUCCGUAGGCCUCACUAGAUGUCCAAAGAGUCUAUGGAGGAGUUCCCAUCAUGGCUCAGCGGUGAGUGAACCCAACCAAUAUCCAAGAAGUUCAACCCCUGGCCUCACUCAGUGGGCUAAGGAUUCUGCAUUGCCGUGAGUAGGUCAUAGACGAGGCUUGGAUCCCGUGUUGCUGUCGCUGUGGUGUAGGCCGGCAGCUACAGCUCCGAUUGGACCCCUACCCUGGGAACCUCCAUAUGGCUCGGGUGCAGCCCUAAAAAGACAAAAAGACCCCAAAAAAAUGAGUCUAUGGAAGAAAAGGGAAAGAUGGUUAGCCAUCCCCUACCCCCCAUGAAACAUGCCCCCACCACAAAGACUCCUGUGACAACAUCAGUCAAGAGCCUUUAACUCUAAGUCCCUACAGACCUGAAUUCUCCAAGUUCCUCAAGAGGUGAUAAAUAUCCAUAGUCAUGUCAAAAGUAGGAAAUUCAAAGAGUUUAGAUGAAGCACAAGGGCUGGAAGGGGAUGGUGGGAAGGAAGGAGAGGCCAAGGGAGGUCGUCUCUGGGGCUCCUCAGGGUCUGUUUCUCCAGGAGAAGAGCUGAGUGGCCUCCACCCCACGUCCGUGAAGGCCCAGCUUUGCCACACACAGAGGUGGAUGCGAGGGGGGCACAGCCACAAGGCCAUCUCCUUGGCGGCAAAACCCAGGCUAGAACAGGUCUCCAACCAUGAGGCACCUGCUGAUUCCAGACCAACAGGGCACCUCUCUCAACUCCAUCAGGAAAGGAAGAGGAAACUCUUUCGUGAACAUAAUUCUAAACUGGGUGAGAGAUACUGUGAGCCGCUCAAUUCCCUACCCCUCACACUAAUUACACACGCGCUCUGGGUUAAUUAAUUUGUAGGAUCGGGCCGUAUUGCUGAGCGGACAUUUUUUUCUGGGUUUCAACUGCUCUACUUCUCAAGUUGAAAUUAACUUUGCUGCAACUUUUUUUUUCUUUCUCUCACCUUUAACUUGAAGUCGGUUUGCAUGUUUUCCUUUUGCAGUUUGGGAAAAAAAAUUAAAAAGGAGGGAAAAAAAGAAAGGUUAUUUGAUCUUUUGAAGAGAGAAACCCUGCUCAUGGAUUUUCUGCAUAGAAUUCAUUGGAGAGAAAAGAGCAAUUGAGUGAACAGAAUGGGAAAGGGAGGACAAGGAAGGGCACAAGCAGCUUUGAACUCCUCCAGGUGGAGGCCAGAAGCUGCCCCCAGUAUCCCAGGGCAGACCCCCAUCCCCUGAAACCAAGCCCUUGGAGACUCUUCUGCAUCCAGGCCAUGCCCACCUGAUCGGAGGACUCUGGGCUACAGAUUCUUCAAACACCCCACAAGAGGGGAGCUUGAGACUAAGCCAGAAAUGUUUGUGCUCCCCUCCUGGUGCUCACUGCCUCAGGCACUUUGAUCAGAGGAAUAAAAGCUGAGAACUAAGAAAUCAUUCUGAGUGCGAACGGAGAGAGGGAGAGCUGAUAAACCUGGGACAUAUACUCUUUGUAACAGGAACUUGUAUUUCUUCCUUCAUCUCUAGGCAUAAGGAUGCAAGGCAAAAUACAUGGCCAUCAACACUAGAUGAUAAAUGCUCAGAACGUCUGGGUCAGCUCAAGGGCUCACCCUCGCCUAAGAAAGAGAAAGCAUCUAACAUCCAAGUCAGGGCAGGCAUCUGAACACACAGACCCUUACUGCAGAGUCCUCUGGAAAUGUCCUCUGGACUUUGGGCAGAGCCAAGAUGUCAAGGGGCUGUGAGUACCAUAGGGCCAUCAUCAGGACUCAGUAAAGUUCCAUUUAAAACACAAGAUCCUUAGUACUAGAUAAGUGCUGGGCUUUGUGCUAGGGCAAAUUGGAGACAAAAGAUGAAUGGGAGACGGGGUACCCCACUGUUUUUCACAGUAGACUGACAAUAGCUCAUUGAUAAGUGCUAUAAAAACUGUAUUCACAAGGUCAAGGGUAGAAAAGAGUAGGAACGAUUAAUUAACUGGGACCAGUGAUGUUUGGGAAGGCAUCGUGGCAGAGGUCGUAGGCAAGGUAGAUUUAGUGAAAGAAUAGGAAGAAAACAUACCAUACAAGCCAUCUUCUAUACCUGGAACACAUGCAAAGGAAGGAACACAUGCAAAGCUGCAGAAAAGUGAAACCUCAAGGUGUGCUCAGCAGUCAGGGUUGUCUGGGGAGGCGAGGAGUUUUGAUAGAUGAGCCUGCAGUCAGGACACAAAAGACCUGUGCCCCACCAUACCCAGCUCUCAGGGGGGAUUUAUUCUGGUGGAGUGGUUUUAAGCAAGAAAGUAACAUGAUCAGAAAUGUGUGUGUGUGUGUGUGUGUGUGUGUGUGUGUGUUCCCCUAGCUCCGGCAGGGAACCUAUGCUGAAGAUGUAGAUCCGGGAGCUUCCAGGCUCAGAGUGGUGGCUGAAGUCAGGAAGAGGAAGAAACAUAAGUGAGGCAACCACCUCCAGACCCUGGUUCUGCCGAGUGGCUCCCAGCUUUAGAAAUUUCUAGAACAUCAGACCUGGAGAGUUCCUAGAGAUCCGCCCUCACCCCCUCAUUUUGCAGGUGAGGAAGCUGAAGACUGGAGGCAGCCAUGGCCAUUGUUCUCCGGUCACCCGACUCCCACAUCUGCCUCAGCCUUGAACAGCCUAUCCACUGCAUCUAAAGUGAACCAGAAGUUUGAGAAGGGGGUGGCAUUGAGGUGCCAAAGGGCAGAUUCAGAGGGAGUCAAUCCACAACCCAGGAGAUGAGGGGGAAAUGAAGGAUAUUAAGCAGUAGGAGAAGAAGGGGGCUGCAGGUUUCUGAGACAGUGCCUCCCCUUUCUCCACCCAGGGAACUCUCUCCAGCUCAAAUGCUGUCUCUUACCUGAAGCCAUCCCAACAAGCAGCACCCAGAGUGACCUCUCCCUUCCCAGACCUCCAUGGGUCCUUCUGGUAUGGUGUGUCCACAUUUAUCCCUAAACCGGAGUUUUCUGGGGGCAGGUGUCACAUUGCUCUUAACUGUGAACAGGGUCUGACCUGUUCACAGGGGCAGGUCUUCAGAGUCAGGGGCCAGAGGAAUCUAUGCUCGCUGGAAGGACACACACAAGCAAAGCUGUCAGGACCAGACCCAGGGAUGAAAAAAUGAGUAGACAGAUGAGGAAAAUGAGGGCAGAGUUCAGGAGAAAGCUGUGGGCCUGCCACGGUUCCCAAGGCCCAGCAUGGCUCUCACCCCCAGCCAGAGUCGCAGGCAGCAGAAAACACGAGUGAUCUGACACCAGUCAUGCCAGCUCUGGCAGAGGCAGGAUGGGACGAUCUAAUAGAUACUUUCCAGACUUCAUGUGUAUUAUCCCCAAACAAAAUGACAUGUGCUUCCAAGCAGCUCCUCUCUGGUUAUGAGCACUAUAAUUAAACACCAAGUACACACCCACCUCAGUCUGCACAGAGAGGGUGGGGAAGCCAACUUCAGCCCAGCAAAGCUGCCUGGCUGUCAAGGUGGAGCCCCAGGCUCACAUCACUGGCCCUUAGACUGGGCGGUCUCCAGCUGGCCUCUGAGAGCUGGCAGGUCACUCAAGACCCCAGGGAGUCCAAGAGGAGGCAGGGGGCUAGGAGAGUGGAGGCAGGAUUCCAGGCCCUAUUCUGCACUAAACAGGAGUCCCUUCUCAUCUUUUUCAUCUGGUCUCCCCGCCUGGCUGUUCUCCCCAUCACACGAGCCUGGGUCCCUCCUCAGUGCUCUCCCAGCCAAGGUUAGUCCACAGCCCUCAGCAGAUACCUCUCAAACAGCAGCCAGGGCUCUGGCAGACUUGGGACAUUCCUUUAGGGUCUCAGUUGUCCCCAGAGCCUCCCUCACAGCCAGCCCGGGUCUGCUCAGAGGCGGCUAUGAGAAAACGUCUCUGGAUCCAUCAGGGGCAUUCAAUUAAGCUUAGAAUCACAGCAAGUUUCCCCUCCCAAACCCAGAGCUGGGCCAAGGCUGGAAGCAGAGAUUCUUGAAACAAGGAAACUGAGCACUGGGUCAGGUCUUAUCACCCCAAAAUUUAAGGGGCUGUGCCAGGCUACAACCAGCCAAGGGACCCAGGCCAGUCAGAUCCUCAGAGUGGUCCCUAGCGGCCCAGCACUGCCCCUGCCCCCAACCCACCAGCUAUACCUGCUGAUUUUCAGGGACCCAGACCUGCCCUGGGGCUCCUUUGCUGUCCUGCAACUAGACUUAGCACAUCACGGCCCCGAAACCCCCUCUGACCUCGUCUUCCAUGAAUAGAUCCUGUGCAUCUCCUCUAGCCCUGGGCUGACUCCAAUUUUUCCUGCCAAAAGUCCCCCAGGGUCAGCCUAAUCUGGGCUGGCCCCGUCCAAGCCAGACUCAGGAAUGGCAGAUACAGAAGCAGAGACUAGGUCAUGCACAGCAGUCAGAGCAUGAGAUUCAACAUCUGGAGGGAAUCCCCAGGUGCUCAGGUCACCCCCUUCCCCCCAUCCUGGAAAAUCACUGCAUGCCCAAAGCAGUGCAACAGGAGGCUGGGGUCC